UGGAACAUGGUGGUGGAACAGAGUGGAGCUGAGGAACAUGGUGGUGGAACAGAGUGGAGCUGAGGAACAUGGUGGUGGAACAGAGUGGAGCUGAGGAACAUGGUGGUGGAACAGAGUGGAGCUGAGGAACAUGGUGGUGGAACAGAGUGGAGCUGAGGAACAUGGUGGUGGAACAGUGAGUGGAGCUGAGGAACAUGGUGGUGGAACAGUGAGUGGAGCUGAGUAUCACUAAGACUGAACUGCAGUUCUACAAGAACAAGGUGGAGGAACUGGAGAGACAGAACACAGAAUUUCAGGCCAGAGUGAGAGCCAGGUAGAGGAGCUGAAGACAAAGAAUGCAGGUAAUGUAGAGAUUUAAAUAAUACAGUAUGUAAAGAGGAUGCUAUAUAUUUGGUCCAAAUCAGACAAGGAACAGGUUCCCAAAAUGGUUCCUAUAUUAGUAAUUUCAGCCCAAGCAGCUACAGGUAGCCGACUGCUUGUUUACACACCAAUCUACAUGUAUAAACACAUGUCCAAUGGGACCAGAUACAGACACUGAGUCCAACAUCACUAACAGACUGCUCCAGUGUCUGGUGGCUUUGAGAGACUGAUAGUGUUGAUCUGUUAUUCCUCUGAUGCAGGUGUCUUCAGUGCUCCAGUGAGAGGAAUACAUGGACUUUGGUUUGUUCAAGUAUGACCAGGGUGGAAUGGAAUGGACAGUACAAUAGUCACGGAAGGUGACAGUAUCUCUCCAAUUCUGGGACUCUUGAACUGAAGGAGGGGGGUCUUGGUUUACAUGAGUCUCUUAUCAGGCUAAAGGAUCUAUGAUGAUUCUAAUAAACACAGCUCCUUCAGUGACUUCCUGCUCUUUCCUAUGUGAGAUGAACACCACAAAAGCUGUAAUAAAAAGUCCAAUCUGUUAUAACAUUCCAUGAAACAUUAUGACGGUAAAAUAAAAUGACUUAACGUCUUCUGUUCUGUUGACGUUUGACUGUAUUUACUAUGAUAUAGAUGAAUGUUCAGCUCAGUAGUUUGGGUGGAAGGCAAAGGGCCAGCGUUGGGGGUUAAAGUGGUAAUAUAUUUAUUGUAUGUAACUACAGACAAAAUUAAAUAACAGUUCAGAUCAACAGUCAGUUUAACUAAUCAUUUCAAGCAGAAAUUGAUCAAUUACGAUGCUAAAGUGAAUGUUUAAGUGAUAAAUCACAUCCACUUCAUUCUUUCUCUGCUUAAUGAUAACACUAGCAGCCCAUUUAGCCUAUUAAAGCUAUACUGCUCCCAUAUUGAUCUGUUACACCUAUCCAUCUACUAACCGACAUACAGGCCAGGUCAGUAUCACCUAACACAGACGGCAAACUUUAAAGGUACAAUCCUGAGUUUGUGUCAGCCCAACAGCAGCCCACCCACUUGGUUUGGUGUAAAGCUUAGAGAUGGGUCUAGUCGUGCUUGGUAACAUUAUUCCUAAAAAAGUUUCAGAAGUUGCACCUGUGCUUGUAGUGAAGAGAUGCACUACAUGGCAGUUUGGAACUCAGUAGGGAAUGUUGAAACUGAGGGCAGACACUUUUUACGCGCUACACCCUUCAGCACUCGGCAGUCCCGUUCUGUGAGCUUGUGUGGCCUGCCACUUUGUGGCUGAGCUGUUGUUGCUCCUAGACGUUUCCACUUCACAAUAACAGCACAAUAACAGUUGACCGGGGCGGCUCUAGCAGGGCAGAAAUUUGACAAACUGACUUGUUGGAAAGGUAGCAUCCUAUGACGGUGCCACGUUGAAAGCAGUUCUUUGUGUAGGUGAAGAAUAUAAAUGACAUUUAUAUAAAUAUAAAUGUGUAGAUGUUUAAGUUCCUCCCUGGUAUAUCCGGAGAGUUAACUUCCUUGUAAUUGCUUGAAUAAAAUCUUAACUUGAAAAUGA
ensembl:lncRNA